rnacentral:rRNA from 1 species
UACAGAGGGGGGCAAGCGUUGUUCGGAAUUACUGGGCGUAAAGGGCGCGUAGGCGGCCGCCUAAGUCAGACGUGAAAUCCCUCAGCUUAACUGGGGAACUGCGUGUGAUACUGGAUGGCUUGGAUUUGGGAGAGGGAUGCGGAAUUCCAGGUGUAGCGGUGAAAUGCGUAGAUAUCUGGAGGAACACCGGUGGCGAAGGCGGCAUCCUGGACCAACACUGACGCUGAGGAGCGAAAGCCAGGGGAGCAAACGGG